GUCUAUGGCCUGCCACCCUGAACACGCCUGAUCUUGUCUGAUCUCGGAAGCUAAGCUGGGUCGGGCCUGGUUAGUCCUUGGAUGGGUGACCACCUAGGAAGACCAGGUGCUGUAGGCG
rnacentral:rRNA from 1 species